rnacentral:rRNA from 1 species
GAUGAACGCUGGCGGCGUGCCUAAUACAUGCAAGUCGAGCGAACGGACGAGAAGCUUGCUUCUCUGAUGUUAGCGGCGGGCGGGUGAGUAACACGUGGAUAACCUACCUAUAAGACUGGGAUAACUUCGGGAAACCGGAGCUAAUACCGGAUGAUAUUUUGAACCGCAUGGUUCAAAAGUGAAAGACGGUCUUGCUGUCACUUAUAGAUGGAUCCGCGCUGCAUUAGCUAGUUGGUAAGGUAACGGCUUACCAAGGCAACGAUGCAUAGCCGACCUGAGAGGGGGAUCGGCCACACUAGAACUGAGACACGGUCCAGACUCCUACGGGAGGCAGCAGUAGGGAAUCUUACGCAAUGGGCGAAAGCCUGACGGAGCAACGCCGCGUGAGUGAUGAAGGUCUUCGGAUCGUAAAACUCUGUUAUUAGGGAAGAACAUAUGUGUAAGUAACUGUGCACAUCUUGACGGUACCUAAUCAGAAAGCCACGGCUAACUACGUG